rnacentral:rRNA from 1 species
CAUGGAGGGUGAGAAUCCCGUUCAUGGUUAAUUCUAAGAUACUUUAUGAUGCGUUUUCGAAGAGUCGAGUUGUUUGGGAUUGCAGCUCAAAAUGGGAGGUAAAUUUCUCCUAAGGCUAAAUAUUGGCGAGAGACCGAUAGCGAACAAGUACCGUGAGGGAAAGAUGAAAAGAACUUUGAAAAGAGAGUUAAACAGUACGUGAAAUUGUUGAAAGGGAAACGAUUGAAGUCAGUCGUACCAGCGGGAAAUCAACCUUUCGAGUGGGUUUUUGGAGUUUUGAAGUGUGUCAAAACCUUCGAGAUUUCAAAAUUUUCGCUCUUUUGGUGUACUUUCUCGUAGGUAGGUUAACAUCGAUUUUGAUCAUCAUAAAAGGGUUGGAGGAAUGUAGCUUCGAUCUCGUAUUGAAGUGUUAUAGCCUUUGAUAAAUGUGAUGAUUAGGAUCGAGGAUUGCAACGAAUACCCUUUUGGGCUAUCCGCCUGAUCUCUGAUACGUGGCCUUGGUAUUGAAAGCGUGCUUAUGAUAUUAAGGUAUUACGGUCAAAAGGUUAGAACGGAUUACAUUCGUUAAGGAUGUUGACGUAAUGG